rnacentral:rRNA from 1 species
GUGCAGCAGUCGCGCAACCUCUGCAAUACGCGAAAGCGUGACAGGGCUACCCCGAGUGCCGUCCGCUGAGGAUGGCUUUUCUCCGGUGUAGUAAGCCGGAGGAAUAAGGAGAGGGCAAGUCUGGUGUCAGCCGCCGCGGUAAUACCAGCUCUCCGAGUGGUAGGGACGAUUAUUGGGCCUAAAGCGUCCGUAGCCGGCCAAGCAAGUUUCCCGUUAAAUCCAGCGCUCCAAUCGUUGGACUGCGGGAAAUACUGUGUGGCUAGGGGGCGAGAGAGGGCAACGGUAUUCCCGGGGUAGGGGUGAAAUCCCAUAAUCCCGGGAGGACCACCAGUGGCGAAGGCUGUUGGCUAGAACGCGCUCGACGGUGAGGGACGAAAGCUGGGGGAGCGAACCGGAUUAGAUAUGAAGUUGAGUUUUUACCAGCUUCACUAGAAAACCCGGGUAGUCC